AGUGAACGCUGGCGGUAGGCCUAACACAUGCAAGUCGAACGGCAGCACAGUAAGAGCUUGCUCUUACGGGUGGCGAGUGGCGGACGGGUGAGGAAUACAUCGGAAUCUACUUUUUCGUGGGGGAUAACGUAGGGAAACUUACGCUAAUACCGCAUACGACCUACGGGUGAAAGCAGGGGAUCUUCGGACCUUGCGCGAUUGAAUGAGCCGAUGUCGGAUUAGCUAGUUGGCGGGGUAAAGGCCCACCAAGGCGACGAUCCGUAGCUGGUCUGAGAGGAUGAUCAGCCACACUGGAACUGAGACACGGUCCAGACUACUACGGGAGGCAGCAGUGGGGAAUAUUGGACAAUGGGGGCAAGCCUGAUCCAGCCAUACCGCGUGGGUGAAGAAGGCCUUCGGGUUGUAAAGCCCUUUUGUUGGGAAAGAAAAGCAGCAGGUUAAUACCCCGCUGUUCUGACGGUACCCAAAGAAUAAGCACCGGCUAACUUCGUG
rnacentral:rRNA from 1 species